rnacentral:rRNA from 1 species
AGGAUUCGUCCAAUUGAAACAGAGGACAGUGGCGGACGGGUGAGUAACGCGUGAGGAACCUUUCCUUCACAGGGGAAUAACGUACCGAAAGGUACACUAAUACCGCAUGAUACAUUUGGGUGGCAUCAUCUGAAUGUCAAAGAUUUAUCGCUGAAAGAUGGCCUCGCGUCUGAUUAGCUGGUUGGUGAGGUAACGGCCCACCAAGGCGACGAUCAGUAGCCGGACUGAGAGGUUGACCGGCCACAUUGGGACUGAGAUACGGCCCAGACUCC